rnacentral:lncRNA from 1 species
GCCGGGUCUGCGCUCUGGGACGCCAUGAGGGAAUAGUCCCUCUGUCCCCACGCCACGAGGGGAUCGUCUCGUCAUCCCCACGCCAUGAAGUGAUCAUUCCUCCAUCCUCAAGCCAUGAGAGAAUCAUCUCGUCAGCCCCGGGCCAUGAGAGGAUCGUCCCUCUAUCCCCUUGCUAUAAGGGAAUUAUCCCCAUGCCACGAGGGGAUAUCAUCCAUGAGGGCCUUGUCCCGACAUACCCACAGCCUGGUCCUCCUGCCCUCUGUGUCCCUGGCACCCUCAGACCCUUCAUUAUGACCAGAGCCAUCAAAAGAAUGGGGUAAAUCCCUUAAAAGUCCUCUCAACACUCUACACAGAAAAAAUAUGGGACUCUGAGGGCAAGUCAGAAUGCCCACCUCAGGUGGCGCUUGCCCAUGCCAGCCAUUCCCUCACCAUUCCUCAAACCAGGCCUGUGGGACAGAGCUGCAACUGACAAAGGACUCAGAAUCAGCUCUUGGCACGAAGCAAAGCACAAAUCUGAACUUAGAUGUGUCUGGGACAGAACAACACUUUUCUUUGUUUCGGCUGUUCUCUCCACCUCACUGCACAGAGAAAACACCCCAG